rnacentral:rRNA from 1 species
UCAUUAGUUUUUUAAUUGAAAACUUGUAUGAAUGGUUGGACAAAGAAGAGACUGUCUCUUGUGUUAUAAUUGAAUUUAACUUUUAAGUGAAAAGGCUUAAAUAUUCUAGAGGGACGAUAAGACCCUAUAAAGCUUUAUAAAUUUGAAGAUUUUGUGUAUUUUUACAUAAAAAUGAAUUUUGAAGAUUUUAUUUGGUUGGGGCGACAAUGGUAUAAUGAGAAUAACUGCUAUUAAAAUUAACAAUUAUAUUUGAAUUAUUAGUAAUUGAUCCUUUAUAAGGAUUUUAAGAUCAAGUUACUUUAGGGAUAACAGCGUUAUUUUUCUUGAGAGUUCUUAUCAAAGGAAAAGUUUGCGACCUCGAUGUUGAAUUAAAAUGUCUAUAUAGUGCAGCAGCUAUAAAAGAAGGUCUGUUCGACCUUUAAUAUUUUACAUGAUUUGAGUUC